GGAGAGGUGACCGAGUGGCUUAAGGUGCGCGACUGGAAAUCGCGUGGGCGGGUUAAACCGCCUCGUGGGUUCGAAUCCCACCCUCUCCG
rnacentral:tRNA from 1 species